GGGAUUUCUUUGAUUAAUCAGAAUGACACACAUCUUGUGCAGAGAAACCGUAACUCUGAUAGUAGCGAUGAGGAUGGAUGUGACUCUGAAGAAGAAAUAAUUGUACUUGAGGCUGUGAGUUCAAUUAUAAAAAGAAGUCUAAAACGAAAGCGCAGACCUAGUAAUAUUCACAAGCAGAAAAGGACGGUGAGUUGUCAAUCUGUGCUUAAUUUAUUUUCUAAUUUUUGCA